GUAGCCUCCCUCCCUCCUUGUUUCCUUACCUAAAUUCUGCAAUUUAUUGUCAGGUCAGUACAAUAAAAUUAAAGUUAUCCUUUUCAAAAUGUAUACUACUAGUAUUAUAAUGAUAUUUUUAUUCUAUGCAAAUAUAUAUAAUAGGGACUGCUUUGCCACGGAUUAUUUGGGGUGAGAUGGAAGAACCCUAGACAAUUACUUUCUUUUCUCACCUAUUGUUUUCAGAUUAUUUUCAAAGGUAGGUAAUUUUUCUCCAGAGAAGCAUCUGGGGAAAGAAUCAGGAUGCAUUGACUUCAUUGAAGGCUUAAUCAUGAUUGAUAUGGAGAAAAUGGAAUCAAACUACUUAGAACAAGUGGGCAGAUCUUCAUAACCUUCUAGUGUUCAAAUUCUGGGCUGCACCUGGCUUGAAACCUUUUUAAUCACCUCUGUUCCUAGAUUUUGGUUAUGAGACUUUCUUCAGUGUAAUUAAUGUUUGUGACAUGUUAAUGGACAAAUCAUUAUAUAAAUGCUAAGUUCUAAAGCCUGAGAAGAACACAUUUAUUUCCUGUCUUAUCUCCUGAUUUUUGACAUUUGUUUUCAAGGCUACUGAGGUUAUCAACAAAUUUGUAGUGAAAUUCCAUCAUCUUGCAGUGGAUCGUCUCUUCAUAGAGAAAAUCCAGUGGUUUCUAACAAAUCUACAAUUGAAAAUCAAUUCAGAGAUCAUGUCCACACUGGGGGCACCAUUAUCUAUAAUGUGAACAAUGUACUGCCGGUAUGUUUCUCACAGUGCAGUCUUGUGGGAAUGCAGAGCUGUUCCCUGCAUGAUGGGGUUACCCUCCAAGUUCUCCCACAGCCUCCCCAGCAUGACUGCUCAUUCCCGGAGCUUUCAAUGUGGAGGGAUGCAUGCCUGAAGGACAGCAGAGGUCAAAACACUGAGCAGAGCCAUCGUGGCAGGUAUUGUGGGAUACAGGCAGAAGCUAGUUUGCAGAGUCUACAAUGGCUCUUUAUCCACAAUAAAAGGAGGGGGGCAGGAAAAGUCUCUCAUAGGGGUGGAAGUUUUGUCACCGAAACAAUGUUUUUCCAGACAAAAGUUGCAUUUCAAUGUGAAUGCAGUCAAAAGGCAGUUUCAGUGACGAAACUUGGUAGUGUAGACAUACCCUUAGUCUACUAUUGCCAGCUUUCUCCUCACACAAAACUGAACACCCCUGCUUAGCGAUUCCUUUUGUGCCCCACCCAUGCCAUACCCCUUCUCUGAGGUCUCACCCUCCCCCCGCUUAGUCAGUCUCCGCUCUAUGCUGCUCACUCUCCACACCCUCAGUCAUUUUCACUGGGCUCAGUUGCAGGAGGGGAUGAAGGCUCCAGCUGGGAGUGCAGGGUCGAGGGUGGGGUCAGAAAUGAAGGGUUCUUCUUCGGGUAGUGUCCCCGUGGGUGCUUCACUGUGGGUGGCGGGCUUGUCCCAGGGCCGCAGU